rnacentral:rRNA from 1 species
UACGUAGGGUGCAAGCGUUUGUCCGGAAUUAUUGGGCGUAAAGAGCUCGUAGGCGGUUUGUCGCGUCUGCUGUGAAAACCCGAGGCUCAACCUCGGGCCUGCAGUGGGUACGGGCAGACUAGAGUGCGGUAGGGGGAGAUUGGAAUUCCUGGUGUAGCGGUGGAAUGCGCAGAUAUCAGGAGGAACACCAAUGGCGAAGGCAGAUCUCUGGGCCGUAACUGACGCUGAGGAGCGAAAGCAUGGGGAGCGAACAGG